rnacentral:rRNA from 1 species
AAGUCGAGCGAACGGACGAGAAGCUUGCUUCUCUGAUGUUAGCGGCGGACGGGUGAGUAACACGUGGAUAACCUACCUAUAAGACUGGGAUAACUUCGGGAAACCGGAGCUAAUACCGGAUAAUAUUUUGAACCGCAUGGUUCAAAAGUAAAAGACGGUCUUGCUGUCACUUAUGGAUGGAUCCGCGCUGCAUUAGCUAGUUGGUAAGGUAACGGCUUACCAAGGCAACGAUGCAUAGCCGACCUGAGAGGGUGAUCGGCCACACUGGAACUGAGACACGGUCCAGACUCCCACGGGAGGCAGCAGUAGGGAAUCUUCCGCAAUGGGCGAAAGCCUGACGGAGCAACGCCGCGUGAGUGAUGAAGGUCUUCGGAUCGUAAAACUCUGUUAUUAGGGAAGAACAUAUGUGUAAGUAACUGUGCACAUCUUGACGGUACCUAAUCAGAAAGCCACGGCUGACUACGUGCCAGCAGCCGCGGUAAUACGUAGGUGGCAAGCGUUAUCCGGAAUUAUUGGGCGUAAAGCGCGCGUAGGCGGUUUUUUAAGUCUGAUGUGAAAGCCCACGGCUCAACCGUGGAGGGUCAUUGGAAACUGGAAAACUUGAGUGCAGAAGAGGAAAGUGGAAUUCCAUGUGUAGCGGUGAAAUGCGCAGAGAUAUGGAGGAACACCAGUGGCGAAGGCGACUUUCUGGUCUGUAACUGACGCUGAUGUGCGAAAGCGUGGGGAUCAAACAGGAUUA